GAAAUAUGUUAAUCAAGAGUAAGCUUCUAACUUCACUCUUUAGUGGUGAAAAUCCAUUAAUGUUUCU
rnacentral:tRNA from 1 species